UGGGGAAUAUUGCGCAAUGGGCGAAAGCCUGACGCAGCCACGCCGCGUGAGUGAUGAAGGCCUUCGGGUUGUAAAGCUCUGUCGGGAGGGAAGACGGGAGAAAUCCCAGACGGUACCUCGCAAGAAAGCACCGGCUAACUCUGUGCCAGCAGCCGCGGUAAUACAGAGGGUGCAAGCGUUGCUCGGAUUUACUGGGCGUAAAGCGUACGCAGACGGUCACGCAGGUCGGAUGUGAAAGCCCCGGGCUCAA
rnacentral:rRNA from 1 species